UAUUUUGGAGCCAGAGCAUAUAAUUUAUUUUUUAUUCACCUUUAUUUAACCAGGCAAGACAGAUUAAGAACAUGUUUCUUAUUUACAACUGUGGCCUGGAACAAUCAGAGCCGGAACAUAUCAGAGCUGGAGUAUAUUGGACCCCGAGCGUAUCACAGCUGGAGUGUUUUGGAGUUGGAGUGUAUCAGACCUGGAGUAUAUUGGAGCUGGAGAGUAUCGGAGCUGGAGUGUAUCAGACCUGGAGUAUAUCGGGCCCAGAGCAUAUCAGAUCUGGAGUGUUUUGGAGUUGGAGUGUAUCGGAGCCGGAGCGUAUCAGACCUGGAGUAUAUCGGGCCCAGAGCAUAUCAGACCUGGAGUAUAUUGGAGCUGGAGAGUAUUGGAGCCGGAGCGUGUCAGACCUGGAGUAUAUUGGAGCUGGAGAGUAUCAGAGCCGGAUCGUAUCAGACCUGGAGUAUAUCGGACCCAGAGCAUAUCAGAGCUGGAGUGUUUUGGAGUUGGAGUGUAUCAGAGCCGGAGCGUAUCAGACCUGGGGUGUAUCGGACCCAGAGCAUAUCGGGCCCAGAGCAUAUCAGAGCUGGAGUGUAUCGGAGUUGGCGGUGUGACGGAAAGGAAUUGCUCUUGCUUUUCGCAUGGUUCCUCGUUUGCUUUGUGAUAUGGAUUCUGCUCGGUUCCGCGAUCACGUCCUCGACGCACGCCGCGGUGUCAUCAGAUAUUGAGUCAUCCGCCUGCUUUUGGGUCCUGUCCCGUGCCCUCGUCUAUUUCUGAGACGUGCCAUUGAAUAUUUAUAGAUUUUCCGUUCCCCGCUUUCGACGCGAAUCCGUCGUAUGCAGCCAGAAAGACGGUCGCCGCAAGGUGACGGGGUCUACACGUCGGGGCCUGGCAUUAAUAUCUAACACCAAGGCUCCUCUUUGAUGUCGUCCGGAGCGUGAAGGUCCCCACUGCUUUUCAGGCAGAGAGAAUGUGAGAGAGAGAGAGAGAGAGAGACAGAGAGAGACAGAGAGAGAGAGGGAGGGAGACUGCAUUCCUCCACAAAGCCUCCCCUCUUCUGGAAAACAAUGGCUGCUUCUUCUGGGAGCCCUAAGUAAACAGAUGGCACGUCAUCCACCAUGACACCGCACCCAGCGCCGCUCACCUGCACAGCAGUGCUGCCUGGCCACUCCCAAGGGGUGAAAGUCCGUCAGUGUUUGGACCAGCAACCACAACUCCCACACUGGUGCCUGCAAGCCUGCGCCGAUCUCCGGAAGGUUCUGCCUGAGACGUGAUUCGGGGCACGGCUUCUGCCUUCCGUUGGCCACAGACCUUUCCCCCCAGAGCCCCUGUGCCAGAAUUAGGGCACCUACCUGGACAGACGGAUGGGAUCGCAGUAAACAUUCAUUUACAGAGGGGGAUCUCACUGUUUUAUUCAUACCCUGCACUUCACUAUCAGACAGGCAGUGAAAUAUGCAUUUCUAGCGUACAUAGUAGAACACAGGCUUACCUGGCAGUUUUUCAGACUUCCUGCGUUCUGAAUUAUACAUUGAACACCAGGGGAUAUUUGUAGCAAGGCCGUAUAGAAGUAUAGAAAUUUAUUUGAUAUAUGUGACACACUGGAAACAGGCAUAAUUCCCCCCAGAUAUAUUAUUUAUGUAUCUUCCACAGAUUUUUGAUAUUUUCAGAUAUCUUACAUAUUUACAUACACCUACAAUCUGAAUACCGUUUUUAGGAUAUUUCAUUAUGUCUGGCUCUGUGUGAGUUACACCAGGUUCCAGGUUCGCAGCGGUGUCAGUGUAUCACAGCAGGGGAUAGUGCAAAGUGGUGUUCCACAGGGGCAGUAAUCCAGAGGGGCAGUAAUCCAGGGGCAGUAAUCCAGAGCGGCAGUAAAUCCUCAGGGGCAAAAAUCCACAGGGGCAGUAAGUCCUCAGGGGCAGUAAGUCCACAGGGGCAGUAAUCCUCAAGGGCAGUAAGUCCUCAGGGGCAGUAAACCUCAGGGGCAGUAAUCCUCAGGGGCAGUAAUUCACAUGGGCAGCAAGUCCUCAGGGGCAGUAAGUCCACAGGGGCAGUAAACUUCAGGGGCAGUAAGUCCUCAGGGGCAGUAAGUCCACAGGGGCAGUAAACCUCAGGGGCAGUAAACCUCAGGGGCAGUAAGUCCUCAGGAGCAGUAAGUCCUCAGGGGCAGUAAACCUCAGGGGCAGUAAUCCACAGGGGCAGUAAGUCCUCAGGGGCAGUAAUCAUCAGGGGCAGUAAGUCCUCAGUGGCAGUAAAUGAUUUUUGUGAUUUUUAAGCUUGUCAGUUACCAUGCAGGAGACAUAAGCAGCUUGCAGGAGCUGCAGACAUCACCGUGGAGAUGGCAGAGCCUUUCAUGGGGGUAAAUCACUGCCAGGAGGACCCGGGCCAUGACGGCAGCCCCUCACCAAGGGUUCUGUUGAUCGGAGGUCUGAGGGCUAUGUGCUACAGUGUGGGCCAUGUUGAUAUGAGGCAUCCAGAAAUGAUGGCUCUCAGCAUUCCAGAGCCCAGGGGCCAGCUGGGAAGACUGGGAGAACUGGGGAUCUCCACUGGUUUCACUCAGCAAAGACACCCCUAACACUCCUGAAAUUGUUAUUCACCAGCAUUAAAAAAUGAUUCGGCUUCAUCACUGCGAUAGAUGUUCUCUGCUUGGGAGAAGCUGACAGUUUAGCUUUUAUUGAGAAGUGUGAGAUUGCGCUCAGAUCUACCCUGUAGCGGGAUGGAGUCUUCGGCAGGAGCCGGAUGAUUUCUCGAUAGGCACCAACCAGCAGCUGCACUACCGUUUAUCAAAUAUUCCCAGUUUUAUUACAGGAGAGCGGCAAAGAAAGCCCACCUCCCAUUGCACGCUCCUCCUUUUCGAUCCUCUUGAAUCUUCAGAGCCCUUAAGAUUUCCUGAUAUUUUUGAGCACGGCCUGGGGGUCCACAACCCCUCCAUUUCCACACCAUUCCAGGGACGUUUCUUCGUUCAGCGCCUAGACAGUGUGAUCCAUAAUGGGGCCAAUUAAAAGAAUACCUCUGGACUUUGGUUCCAUAAAACCAGGGCACAGACAGAGCUCGGUGGUGACCCCGGCACCCAGGGCUCAUAUGGGUUUAUUCUGGUCCAGCUCACUUAACGCAGUCAGUUUCAUUUGUAUUUUCAAAUUAUAUUUUGAACAGACAAAUCAGUUUAGCUUUGGGGAUUUGUGCCUUUCGGGGGUGUGGGUGGGGAGGGGAAGUAUGACAGUAAUCAAUUCCAAAAUCACAUUAAUCAUUUGUACCCAAAAUGAGGAAACGCAACUCUGUGACCAUCUGAGCGGACAGCUUCAUUUUUCCGGCAAAGUCCCACGGUCCCGCCUGAGAAAUGCAAUCUGCAGAUGGGAAUGAAUCCCAGCGUCAUUCAAUAAAAGGAAAUUAUUUUGGAGUGGCGUGCAAGCGCGUUACAUGAAUCUGAGGAAGAAUGUCGCCCCGUCUGGGAAAGGUGGAAAACGCAAAGCAAGUCAAAGCCUUUGGGGGGUGAUGGGGUCGUAGGGGCCCCUCCCCGGGCAGCCGUCAAAGCCAGGGCUAACCCCUCUGAGGCUGGCGGGCGGGUAAUCUGCAGACACCAUUGGCCGGGGGCAUGAAUGAGGGAGAGGAGCAGGUCUCGGUGUCCAUCCCCGUCAUCCACACAGCUGUCAGCCAGCAACCGUCUGACACGAUGGGGCGUACAGGGAGCUGCAGCCAGCUGCAGCCACGCCCCCGGGCCGUCCUCCGGCAGCAGCGCCCCAAAAGGCCUCAUUAAGCCUAAUGAGUCUUGGAAUUAACAGCACAGUGGAGGAGUGGCCACCUUCCCAGCUGGAUAUUCGGUUGUUUCUUUAACAUUCAUAAUGGACGAGUAACAAGGGCGGCGAUUCCCCUGGUGACCCCCAGACGCACUGCUGUCCCCACGCACACACACAGCCCGGGCUGUCACACGGUGUCACAUGCACGCACACACACAGCCCGGGCUGUCACACGGUGUCACAUGCACACACACACACUGUACUCCAGAGUGUCAGAUGCAUACCCACCCUGGAGAGUCACAUGAUGUCACACACACACUCCUGAGUGUCACACAAACACACACACACAUAUACUCCUGAGUGUUACAGGCACACACGCACACACACAGACCCCGAAAUGUCACAGACACAAGCACACACACACAUACUGGAGUGUCACAGGCAAACACACACAUGCACACACACACAGACACACACACACACAAACACACACACUCCUGAGUGUCACAGGCACACAAACACAAACGCACACACACAUGCAUGCAUACAAACACUCCUGAGUGUCACAGGCACAAACACACACACACACAGAGCCAUGUGAGCGGAUUUAAUUGAAUCGCUUAUCAGAAGCGCCUGAUGAUUUCCUUUUAAGCCGGCGCGGCGUUCCCGCUGAAUCAUGGCCCGUGAAACAUUCCUCUGCUGUCGCCCCCUUUCCCAAUCAGCCGUAAAUGGGGUCAUUUAAAAACCAAUACAGGCCUGUGUUUGUUUCUUUAUUAUUACAUAGAAAGGUCACCAUAGAUCCUUCUCAAUGCACGCUACAAAAUAAUCACUUCAAAUAAUAAAGAUCUAUUUCCUCUUA